GAUGAACGCUAGCGACAGGCUUAACACAUGCAAGUCGAGGGGCAGCGAGGGCGUAGCAAUACGCCUGUCGGCGACCGGCGCACUGGUGAGUAACACGUAUGCGACCUGCCCCCUACAGGGGUAUAACUCGUAGAAAUGCGGACUAAUCCCCCAUAGUCCUGGGUGCUGCAUGGCAUUCAGGGGAAAGGUCAGCCGGUAGGGGAUGGGCAUGCGGCGCAUUAGCUAGUUGGCGGGGCAACGGCCCACCAAGCCCACGAUCAGUAGGGGUUCUGAGAGGAAGGUCCCCCACAUUGGAACUGAGACACGGUCCAAACUCCUACGGGAGGCAGCAGUGGGGAAUAUUGCACAAUGGGGGAAACCCUGAUGCAGCAACGCCGCGUGAAGGAAGACGGUUUUCGGAUUGUAAACUUCUAUCAAUAGGGACGAAGAAAGUGACGGUACCUAAAUAAGAAGCCCCGGCUAACUACGUG
rnacentral:rRNA from 1 species